UACGUAGGGGGCAAGCGUUGUCCGGAAUCAUUGGGCGUAAAGAGCGUGUAGGCGGCCCGAUAAGUCCGCCGUGAAAGUCCAGGGCUCAACCCUGGAAUGCCGGUGGAAACUGUCGGGCUGGAGUCCGGAAGAGGCGAGUGGAAUUCCUGGUGUAGCGGUGAAAUGCGCAGAUAUCAGGAGGAACACCAAUGGCGAAGGCAGCUCACUGGGACGGUAUUGACGCUGAGACGCGAAAGCGUGGGGAGCAAACAGG
rnacentral:rRNA from 1 species